rnacentral:lncRNA from 1 species
AAAGAGAAAUAUGUCAAAAGAUUUGUGUACAUAGAAAUAUCUGAGAAAUUUGUACCAUGUACUUUCUUGUGGACUACCCAAAUUGUAGACUGAGAGGUGCAUCUAAAAACUGGAUUUCAGGAGCCCACAACAGCAAGAAUUCAAGAUACAAAAAGUCAAAAUAGAUCAAUACCUAGUACACCCGGCACGAAUUAUGGAAGAGCAUCCUGCAUACAGUACCUAGUGAGACCCCCUUGUAGUUGUAGGUGCUUCCAUGUGCUAUUUAAUGUCUUAUUUCAUUCCAACUCUUUUUCCAAAUAGUAGCAAUCAACCUUGAAAACAGCAGUAGCUUGAAACGCCCUGCUCUGAACAAAUUGAGCUAUCAUAUGUUAUCUGUAAUAACAACUAUAUGUACCUUCUCUUUCCUGAAAGCGACAAUGGCUUAAAACGAUCUGCUCUGAACAAAAUCUCUCCAGCGUCAUUCUUGUUAAUUUGUUUAAUCAAUUGUGUCCAUAUAUUACUCUUGUUUUGGAAGCUAAAUGCUUUCUACCAGAAGUUCUUUACCUUGCAACCUAAAGACAUUGUGCAGAACCAAAAUUUUGAUUAAUUUUGUAAUUAUAAGACUGUAAAGUGGCAAAAUAGAGCUAAUAAUUUAACAAAAAGGGCAACCUAACUGAAUAAUUUUUACCUCUCUUCGACCAAUGUUGCCAGACUGCUGAUGGAUUCAUAGGUACCAUGAAGCCUGAUACAUACAAAAGGUGGAAUUUAGGUCGAGAUUAACAAAGGCGUAGUGUUCAGGGUAAGAGAGGAGAGCUAGGGAGGCGUUGAGCUCAUCAGCAGCAGAUCUCGAGCACGAGCAUGGAGGAGAAGAGGACCUCGAGGUUACUUAGCGCAGCGAGGCGAAGGACAGGCAGCCGGUCGCAGCACCGAGGGUGAUCCAUCAUUUAGCACAAGCUAUUUCCUUUACUUACCCUAUAAUUGCGCUUCAUGGCAUCAUCUUAAAUUCACGAGAAUACCAAUUUUUCUGUGGGCUAGAGAUCUGAAAUUCGUAGUUAGCCUGGAUGCCUGGUGGAGCAAAUUUGUAGCAUGAAUUAUCAAGUCAAUUGGUGUUUCAAGUUUACGAAUUAACUGUAAUUUAGUUACCACAUGACUGGCUAUGGGCAAGGCCGGUUAGUAAAUAAUUGAUUUGGUUUUCAAAAGAAAACGACAUGGUUCAAAAUUGAAAUGGUUUUCAAAAUAACUGAGUAGUGACUAAUGCAUGCUUUGAGUAUCAAAUCCCACUAUCUCAAUGCUUUGUGGUGCAAUGAGUAUCUCAAGAAUGAAUAGUUAAGAAUCCAUCUGUUGAAACUGUCAUUUUUUAGAUAAAAAACAUAAAUAGCUUCAGAUCAAAUAAAAAAACCGUACCAAAAUUGCUCCCUAUCGCCGUUGUCUUGAUCUGGUUGUCAAAAAAAUGCAGCCACCUCCUGUUGCAUCGUGAAUGGAGAAUAGUGGGAAGGGGAGCUUGCAGCCACACACCUUGGCUGUC